rnacentral:rRNA from 1 species
UGCGUAGGUGGUUCUGUGUGUCGGAUGUGAAAUGUCACCGCUCAACGGUGAAAAGACAUUCGAAACUGCAGGACUAGAGUGCAGGAGGGGAGAGCGGAAUUUUUGGUGUAGCGGUGGAAUGCGUUGAUAUCAAGAAGAACACCGGUGGCGAAGGCGGCUCUCUGGAAUGCAACUGACGCUGAGGCACGAAAGUUGGGGUAGCGAACAGGAUUAGAUACCCUGGUAGUCC